CGUAAAGCCCUGUCGAGUGGGACGAAAGACGAUAUGGCUAAUAUCCAUGUCGAGUGACGGUACCACUAAAGGAAGCACCGGCUAACCACGUGC
rnacentral:rRNA from 1 species